GAGGGGGUUUGAACAAAAUUCUGAAAAUCGAGAAAAAGGAGCGAGGAGUGAAAACCAUUGUUGGAUGCACUUGGUUUUAACCUCGACAGCGCCACCUUUCGGCAAAGCUGUUCCCGGUUGCAAGUUGAAGCCUCUUUCCCUUUGAAGACACAUCCUUUAUAAUUUUUAUUAGAGAGCCUAAUGGAUGAACAAGUAUGGGUGCAAACCAGUGAAUUGGAAGGUUGUCUUGGUGUCUUGGUAAGAAGUAUUGAACUCUUAAUCAGAGGGGUCAGAAGACCUAGGUUCAGAUCCCAGCUCUAUACAUAGCUGAUG